rnacentral:misc_RNA from 1 species
GAUGAAGAACGUAGCGAAAUGCGAUAAGUAAUGUGAAUUGCAGAAUUCAGUGAAUCAUCGAAUCUUUGAACGCACAUUGCGCCCGCCAGUAUUCUGGCGGGCAUGCCUGUUCGAGCGUCAUUUCAACCAUCAAGCCCCCGGCUUGUGUUGGGGACCUGCGGCUGCCGCAGGCCCUGAAAAGCAGUGGCGGGCUCGCUGUCACACCGAGCGUAGUAGCAUACAUCUCGCUCUGUGCGUGCUGCGGGUUCCGGCCGUUAAACCACCUUCAUAACCCAAGGUUGACCUCGGAUCAGGUAGGAAGACCCGCUGAACUUAAGCAUAUCAAUAAGCGGAGGA